AUUGAACGCUGGCGGCAGGCCUAACACAUGCAAGUCGAGCGGAUGAAGGGAGCUUGCUCCUGGAUUCAGCGGCGGACGGGUGAGUAAUGCCUAGGAAUCUGCCUGGUAGUGGGGGAUAACGUCCGGAAACGGGCGCUAAUACCGCAUACGUCCUGAGGGAGAAAGUGGGGGAUCUUCGGACCUCACGCUAUCAGAUGAGCCUAGGUCGGAUUAGCUAGUUGGUGGGGUAAAGGCCUACCAAGGCGACGAUCCGUAACUGGUCUUAGAGGAUGAUCAGUCACACUGGAACUGAGACACGGUCCAGACUCCUACGGGAGGCAGCAGUGGGGAAUAUUGGACAAUGGGCGAAAGCCUGAUCCAGCCAUGCCGCGUGUGUGAAGAAGGUCUUCGGAUUGUAAAGCACUUUAAGUUGGGAGGAAGGGCAGUAAGUUAAUACCUUGCUGUUUUGACGUUACCAACAGAAUAAGCACCGGCUAACUUCGUG
rnacentral:rRNA from 1 species